UGUAAAAAAUUGCUGUAGAUUCUACAGCAAAAUUCUACAGAAAUUUAUUGUUUUAUCAUUUUACAAGUUAUUACUGUAAUUCGCAAUGCAUUAUGGGUCAAAAGGAGUAUUACAGUUGUUUACUGUAUAUUUCCCUGUCAACUGUAAAUUGAUUUACAGGUAAGAGGUGUUUUCACUGUAGUUCAUACGUUUUACAACAAUUUACUGUGACGUGGCAUUAUGGGAUUGCGCGGGCUGAAUACAUUUGAAAUCUGGUGGACUGGAGCAGGGCAGGAUCGAGUUGAAGAUAAAAGGCACUAUUUACUCAAUUUUUGGCGAGGCAAUCGCGACGGCGCGCGCUCAGUGGUGAGGCGAUCUGAACUUACAAGCACAAGAUGUCAGCAACAGCAGCUGAAGUGGAAAAAAGUUCUACACUUCCAGACUCUCUGAGACUGAUUGUCUUAGGUGAAAUUCUCACUGCAACCCAGUGGAUGCUGAGUAUUGAGGGUCAAGUGGUUCUGAAUCAACACCC